CAUGUAUUAAGGUUGAAGAUCUUCGCCGUCUCAUUGCUGAAAAAGUCGAUGAUGAGAAUGAAAUAUUUAUUUCGGAAUACAAGAGACUUCCUUCCGGGAAUCAAAGUAUUUGUCAUGCAGCACAAAAGACAGAGAACACUGCAAAAAAUCGUUUCAAAACUACCUUUCCCUAUGAACAUUCAAGAAUUGUCCUUAAAGAGAAAUGGAAAGACUUGGACAAUGAUUAUAUUAAUGCAAAUUUCAUCAAGG